GUGGGGAAUAUUGGGCAAUGGGCGCAAGCCUGACCCAGCCAUGCCGCGUGGGUGAAGAAGGUCUUCGGAUUGUAAAGCCCUUUCGGCGGGGACGAUGGUGACGGUACCCGCAGAAGAAGCCCCGGCUAACUUCGUGCCAGCAGCCGCGGUAAUACGAAGGGGGCUAGCGUUGCUCGGAUUUACUGGGCGUAAAGGGCGCGUAGGCGGCGGAUCAAGUCAGGCGUGAAAGUCCUGGGCUUAACCUGGGGAUUGCGCUUGAGACUGGUUUGCUUGAGGCCGAGAGAGGGUGGUGGAAUUCCCAGUGUAGAGGUGAAAUUCGUAGAGAUUGGGAAGAACACCGGUGGCGAAGGCGUCCACCUGGCUCGGUCCUGACGCUGAGGCGCGAAAGCGUGGGGAGCAAACAGGAUUAGAUACCCCUGUAGUCC
rnacentral:rRNA from 1 species